ensembl:miRNA microRNA 590
GAGCUUAUUCAUAAAAGUACAGUAUGAUCCAGUAAACCUGUAAUUUUAUGUAUAAGCUAGU